CUUGGUCAUUUAGAGGAAGUAAAAGUCGUAACAAGGUUUCCGUAGGUGAACCUGCGGAAGGAUCAUUACUGAGAACUUGCCCUUAGGGGUAGAUCUCCCACCCUAUGUUUACAUACUUUGUUGCUUUGGCAGGCCCGCCUCUGCUACUGGCCUCGGCUAGUUAGUGCCUGCCAGAGAAUCUACACCCUGAAUUAUUUAUUGUCCGAGUACUAUUCAAUAGUUAAAACUUUCAACAACGGAUCUCUUGGUUCUGGCAUCGAUGAAGAACGCAGCGAAAUGCGAUAAGUAAUGUGAAUUGCAGAAUUCAGUGAAUCAUCGAAUCUUUGAACGCACAUUGCGCCCUCUGGUAUUCCGGGGGGCAUGCCUGUUCGAGCGUCAUUGCAACCCUCAAGCUCUGCUUGGUAUUGGAUGUCACCAAAUUGGUGCCUCUUAAAAUCAGUGGCGGUGCCACUUGGCUUCUAGCGUAGUAAUACUUUUCGCUAUGGAGUUUAGGUGUGUGCUUGCCAUCAACCCCUGACUUUACAGGUUGACCUCGGAUCAGGUAGGGAUACCCGCUGAACUUAAGCAUAUCAAUAAGCGGAGGAAAAGAAACCAACAGGGAUUGCCUUAGUAACGGCGAGUGAAGCGGCAACAGCUCAAAUUUGAAAUCUGGCGUAUGCUCGAAUUGUAAUUUGUAGAGGAUGUUUCGAAUGCGGUCCAGUCUAAGUUCCUUGGAACAGGACGUCAUAGAGGGUGAGAAUCCCGUAUGCGACUGGGUGCCAAUUUCAUGUGAAACUCCUUCGACGAGUCGAGUUGUUUGGGAAUGCAGCUCAAAAUGGGUGGUAAAUUUCAUCUAAAGCUAAAUACUGGCCAGAGACCGAUAGCGCACAAGUAGAGUGAUCGAAAGAUGAAAAGCACUUUGGAAAGAGAGUUAAACAGUACGUGAAAUUGUUGAAAGGGAAGCGCUUGCAAUCAGACUUGCAUGCAGCUGAUCAUCCGAUGUUCUCACCGGUGCACUCAGUUGUAUACAGGCCAGCAUCGGUUUUGGUGGUUGGAUAAAGGCCUAAGGAAUGUAGCUUCUCUCGGGGAGUGUUAUAGCCUUGGGUGCAAUGCAGCCUACUGGGACCGAGGACCGCGCUUCGGCUAGGAUGCUGGCGUAAUGGUUGUAAGCGACCCGUCUUGAAACCACGGACC
rnacentral:rRNA from 1 species